AGAUUGAACGCUAGCGGGAUGCUUUACACAUGCAAGUCGAACGGCAGCGCGGACUUCGGUCUGGCGGCGAGUGGCGAACGGGUGAGUAAUAUAUCGGAACGUGCCCAGUAGCGGGGGAUAACUACGCGAAAGCGUGGCUAAUACCGCAUACGCCCUACGGGGGAAAGGGGGGGAUUCUUCGGAACCUCUCACUAUUGGAGCGGCCGAUAUCAGAUUAGCUAGUUGGUGAGGUAAAGGCUCACCAAGGCGACGAUCUGUAGCUGGGUUGAGAGGACGACCAGCCACACUGGGACUGAGACACGGCCCAGACUCCUACGGGAGGCAGCAGGUGGGGAAUUUUGGACAAGUGGGGGAAACCCU
rnacentral:rRNA from 1 species